CGGCGAGCGGAGAAGCGGAGGUUGCAGCCUCGGGAUUGACUAGAACGCUAGAGCCCCGUCUGCCAUAAAGCUAAGCGCUAGGCUCUUGGCCCUGACGUGAGGCGCGCAGAGAUGACGUAAGGGGAAUAGUUUUCAACGUCUGUUUUAUUCAGUGCUUCGGAGGACCUUCUUUAAUCUUUGAUUUUGGUCCCUGCUUCUAAGAAAAGCAACUGAAAAGGUCGUAAUACUGCCCCUCAGAAGAAAGGAACAGCGCUAAGUAAUCGGGAAAAUGCCUCCUCUUGGAAGGGAUAUAGAGAUGGAAACAGAAGAUAUAAGAAGGAUUGAGAAUCAUAUAAUACAGGAGCUUAAAAACCUGUUCGCGAUAAUAAAGAGGGUAAUGUCAGAGCGCUUGGAAAAUACCAGGAAGUUGGGAGAGUUAACAGAAGGGCGCACGCUGGAUUGGCCACAAAAUCGAAUUACUGAAAGUUGCUCCUUGUCCUUAUAUGAAGUAGAUUCCAGACCUCACAAUUGUAUAUGCCUAUUCUUCUACUCCAACCCCUCAAAAAAAAGAGGAAGAAUGAAAGAAUGAACAAGAGAAAAAGAAGGAAGGAAGAGAGGGAGAAGAAAGGAGGGAAGGAUGGUCCUGAAGAUCUCAGUUCGGUGCUGAAAAAAGUCACUACUUAAACUUCUUCAAGCAGAAUGAAUUACCAUAGCUAAUAAUGUACCUUAAGCUUUUCUAGAAUCUUUGUAUUUAAAAAAUUGAUUAUUACUAAAUGUAUUUUAAUCUUGUAAAAUUUUAGGAAUUUAAAUGAAGAAUUUCACAAAGGGUAAGAAAAAUUAUAUAUUAUAUUUAUACAUUUGUCAUUAUGAUUCUCCUAUUGUAGAAAAAAAAUAAAAUCUCAGGACCCCAAUUCA
rnacentral:lncRNA from 1 species